rnacentral:rRNA from 1 species
GAUGAACGCUGGCGGCGUGCCUAAUACAUGCAAGUCGAGCGAACGGACGAGAAGCUUGCUUUUCUGAUGUUAGCGGCGGACGGGUGAGUAACACGUGGAUAACCUACCUAUAAGACUGGGAUAACUUCGGGAAACCGGAGCUAAUACCAGAUAAUAUUUUGAACCGCAUGGUUCAAAAGUGAAAGACGGUCUUGCUGUCACUUAUAGAUGGAUCCGCGCUGCAUUGGCUAGUUGGUAAGGUAACGGCUUACCAAGGCGACGAUGCAUAGCCGACCUGAGAGGGUGAUCGGCCACACUGGAACUGAGACACGGUCCAGACUCCUACGGGAGGCAGCAGUAGGGAAUCUUCCGCAAUGGGCGAAAGCCUGACGGAGCAACGCCGCGUGAGUGAUGAAGGUCUUCGGAUCGUAAAACUCUGUUAUUAGGGAAGAACAUAUGUGUAAGAAACUGUGCACAUCUUGACGGUACCUAAUCAAAAAGCAACGGCUAACUACGUG